rnacentral:rRNA from 1 species
CAAAAGUCUGAUCCAGCAAUUCUGUGUGCACGAUGAAGGUCUUCGGAUUGUAAAGUGCUUUCAGUUGGGAAGAAGGAAAUGACGGUACCAACAGAAGAAGCGACGGCUAAAUACGUGCCAGCAGCCGCGGUAAUACGUAUGUCGCAAGCGUUAUCCGGAUUUAUUGGGCGUAAAGCGCGUCUAGGUGGUUUGAUAAGUCAGAUGUGAAAAUGCGGAGGCUCAACUCCGUAUUGCGUUGGAAACUGUCAAACUAGAGUAUCGGAGAGGUGGGCGGAACUACAAGUGUAGAGGUGAAAUUCGUAGAUAUUUGUAGGAAUGCCGAUAGAGAAGUCAGCUCACUGGACGAAUACUGACACUGAAGCGCGAAAGCAUGGGGAGCAAACAGGAUUAGAUACCCUGGUAGUCC